rnacentral:rRNA from 1 species
CCUACGGGUGGCAGCAGUGAGGAAUAUUGGUCAAUGGACGGAAGGCUGAACCAGCCAUGCCGCGUGCAGGACGACGGUGCCAUGAAUUGUAAACUUCUUUUGUACAAGGGUAAAAUCCGGCACGAGUACCUGACUGAGGGUACCUGACGAAAAAGCAUCGGCUAACUCCGUGCCAGCAGCCGCGGUAAUACGGAGGAUUCGAGCGUUAUCCGGAUUUAUUGGGUUUAAAGGGUGCGUAGGCGGGUCGGUAAGUCAGAGGUGAAAACCCGGGGCUCAACUCCGGCAGUGCCUUUGAUACUGGCUGUCUAGAGAUGUCGAGCGGUAUGCGGAAUG